UAUAACCACAAGGAUCAAAAUUGUAAUUUACUCUUUUUGCUAUCUUAAAUUGUUAUUUUUUUAUUUAAUCAUCUUUUUAACAAACAUUGUUUUCCGUUAAAUCACUUCUUCAUAAAAAAAUAGAAAAAUGUGUAAAGAAACCAUAUAUUUUGUAUAUUGCAUGAAGUAUUGAUUGAUCAUUGUAUUGUUGUUGAUUCAGAUCUUACAAUUGUAAGAUGUUGUAAGAUCUAAUAUAGGGUUUGACUGGGAGACUUUUGGGUUGGUUAAAUCAAUAGAAGUUUUUCGUUGCCGUUUUGUCACUAUAUCCUUUGUUUGGUGUUGAUUUCAUACCUUUUUAGAAAAACCAUCCGUAUUCACCCGACGCGUUAUAAUAUGUGAGAUUGAUUGCGCGACCCACCCAUCCACUUUUUUUUGAACGACCAACAAAAUCAAUCCCGAGCACUCCCAGGGCACCCACUAGACCAAAAGGAGUACUCCGAGACUAACCUGAGUCCACCACCAUUUCCGGGGAAAACCUGAUGACCCACCCGCCCUAGGCACGGUGAUGAAAUUACUAGUAAAACUCGUUUGGCUCAAGAAUCAAACCAAGGUUUCCCUGGGCUCCUAUCUGCAUCAAGUGGGAGUUGAAUCUGUAUCUCUCAAGAGAAAUGUCUGUCGCAACACGGAUGUCCUAGGUCGAGUCAGUGUUGGUAGUCGCUAACGGUGCUGUGACAUUGGCCAGUCAACCCGCAGUCAUUGGUAUCGAUAGGUUCAUGUCGAUAACUAACGUGCUUCAUUUUACACUGUGUGCUUCAGAUGUUUAUAUGCUUGGCUUGCUGUGAAAUUGAGGCUAGGAAUGGUCUAGAAACGAAUAUAUGAAUUGUCUGUAUUUGAAACCUGAGUUGUCGGAACAGAACAAUUUUACUAGAUUUUGUCAGUAAUAAUUAUAUUACUUUUUAUGUCA